rnacentral:ncRNA from 1 species
GAACGCCGUAUGAGGUGAAAGUCUCACGUACGGUGUGAAGUGGGGGAAAAGAAAUCCUAACGAGUAAUGUUGAGGAAGUUUCUUACCUAUCACUAU